GCGGAGGGCAAGAAGAUAUUUACAGGCUCUGAUUUAUUUUUUGACAAGCGGCCUCGACGAAGCCCCCCACCGCAGGUAUGAAACUCAAUGCAUGGCGAGAGACUCCAUCUUGAUUACUGUACCGUGGUUGAAGUAACAAUUGAUAUCUUUUAAUAUCCUGUGGUGAACUAACUUUAUACGGGUACGGUGCUCUGCGAAGGAAGGAUUUCCGUGCACAAACAUUCAGGAGGAUGCUCCGCCCAGGGCCUCAUUGAAUGUGAACUUGCGGCCAGCAGCCUGUUUUAUGACGACGCAUUAAAGAGGAGCCUGCAAGUCUCGUCCGCCGCCAACUCGCUACGCUUUAUUGAACUAAAACUGGUGUCUGCUUCGUUUGCAGUCCCUUCCCUCCGAGCUCAACCAGCAAAGAGGAAGAGGAGAAAGACGAAUGUGUGGGAGUGCGGGAGGUAUGCUGGAGGAGGAAUGCAAAAAAAAAAUGGUGUGGUAGCGGCCACACUCGGUUAACAUGCGGAAAUGACGCAUCCCCGCGCGCCCGCCUGAGGGGUACACACAGCAUCAUGAAAGGGAUUUGACUUGACACGAGUCACAGUCGCUCCAUCCCCGAUGUGGAAGAGGCGCAGGGAGGGGGAUGAAUUAUUCAACCAGCCAGUGCUUGGCCUGGCUGACGGCGUGUUGUCAUGUGGAGCUGAAGCGGCAACACCGAGCAGCGCCCUCCUCAUCACGAGAAGAGGGCAGGCAACCUGCCAUUUGCUUGAUCAGAAAGAGGGGUAUCAUGUCAUUUCAGAGCGGGAGUAAAGGCAUAGAUGCCAAAAAAAAAAAAAAAA